UUGGAGGGCAAGUCUGGUGCCAGCAGCCGCGGUAAUUCCAGCUCCUAUAGCGUAUAUUAAAGUUGUUGCAGUUAAAAAGCUCGUAGUUGAAUUUCGGGAUUAGUACGCUGGUCGUGCCUUCGGUACGUACUGGUGUUACUGAUUUCUACCUUCUGACGAACCAUCAUGUCAUUAAUUUGGUGUGGUGGGGAAUCAGGACUGUUACUUUGAAAAAAUUAGAGUGUUUAAAGCAGGCUCGCGCUUGAAUACAUUAGCAUGGAAUAAUGAAAUAGGACGUUGAUCCUAUUUUGUUGGUUUCUAGGAUUGACGUAAUGAUUAAUAGGGAUAGUUGGGGGCAUUAGUAUUCAAUUGUCAGAGGUGAAAUUCUUGGAUUUAUUGAAGACUAACUACUGCGAAAGCAUUUGCCAAGGAUGUUUUCAUUAAUCAAGAACGAAAGUUAGGGGAUCGAAGACGAUCAGAUACCGUCGUAGUCUUAACCAUAAACUAUGCCGACUAGGGAUCGGAUGAUGUUAUUUUUAAUGACUCAUUCGGCGCCUUACGGGAAAC
rnacentral:rRNA from 1 species